GCCUCUGUCUGGAAGUGGGCGGUUUUUGUUAUUGAGGGAAAACAUUCCUGAAAGUGAGUCAGAGAGUGAGAGAAAAUAAAACAGUCUCUGUUCCCAGUGUCACUGAGUAGAACUACUUGCUGUGCAGUUGCAUCUUGUCAGCGUGGACACUGCAGUUGUUGUUUACUGUAAGCUGUCUCAACAUAGUAGGCCAAAACAGAGCCUGUCUGAGCUACUUGGAAUUUCACAAUUUGGCAUAUUACACCACAAAAACCUCAGAGAAAGAUGGACACAAAGAGAAUGAUAUUCUGUUUGCUUGUGGCAGUUAUUAUCAGCCCUGUGUUUACUGAAGAAUGGAGGGCCAAUGUUGUAAAAGAACUUGACGCCCUGGUCACAUCCUGUGUUGUGGUACCCUGUUCAUUCACCCAUCCUAAAGAGAACCUGCCCACCUCCAGACUCAGAGGGAUCUGGCAUCGUUCGACUGAUAGAAACCAACGCAUCUACUACGAGGAUAGCACGCAGGUCUUGGAAAACUUUAGGGGCCGCACAAAGUUGUUGGGACAUCUGGGUCAGAACAACUGCUCUUUAGAAAUUACUAACAUUAAAGAUCAUGACAACGGCCCUUUCUGUUUCCGGCUCGAACUAGCACGAACAGAGACUGAUACAUCCACCGUUGACAAGUUCUCCUUUGUGGAGAGUUGUGUCGAAUUGAGAAUGCUCCCUGAUCCUCCGAAUCCUACACUGAGUCACCCAAAGACGGCCAUUCAAGAUCGUCCCUACACUAUCACCUGUUCAGUCCGCCAUACCUGCCCCUCCCAUGUGCCUAAACUCACAUGGAGUAGAGGCACAGCAGAUGAGGUAACAGAGGUCCACAAGGAAACUGGCUUUGGCUACUGGGAGGCCGAGUCCAUCCUGACCAUCAUUCCUGAGGAGAAGGAUGAUCACAGUGAUGUCACCUGUACAGCACAAUUUAAUGGACAGAAGACAUCAUCUACAACAUUGAAACUGUAUGUAAAACGUACAGAAAACUAUAACCACAUCAUCAUUCCCACGGUGGCAGUGAUUGGUACAGCUGUGAUCUUUGCAGUCUUCUGCAUUUUCAUGGUGAAAAGAUACAAACUGUCUCGCAGGUGAGAAAACAUUUUGUACAUUUUGGACCUAAAAAAAGCCUACUGGUUGUCAAGGAUUACAUUUUAAAAGAGCAAUAAACAGCUGAAAUUGUUGUAGGCCAUUCUUAUUAAAGGCAAAAAAGGAUUUUUUAAUGCAUUUUUAUCUUAUAAUUUGGUGACUAGUUCUGUACCGUUCCAACUGUAAACUUUUACACACCAAUGCAUCAUUUGUCUUGCAUAUCUCUGCAGAUGUAACAUGUUUAUUUUUGAUUCUGCUUUACGAUAAACUAUGCUUCUAUCUUUAUGUGAAAUGGCAAUGCCUUAUUUUCUGUUCUUCUUUUUUAAUCGGGUGAAUCUAAAGGUGAGAAUUGAAAAAAGGAACUUCACUUAAAUAUGUGAAACCACCCAGUUUGCUUUAUUUGUUGUGAUGUCCUUACAGUUAAACCGUUAAAAAACAAAUAUUAAAUGUAAUAAUAUUUAACAUGUAAAGCUGCAUCGCUGUCCCAUCGCAGUCUUUUGCACACAAUUCAGAACUGAUAUUACAGAUAUGUUUUCUUAUUAUUCAUUUGUCUAUUUUGCCCACAUUGUGAUGGAAUCUUAAAAAAAUUGUCAACAAACAUGGCAUGUCUUUGGUCGAAGCAAACAAUGAGUUCUGUUUUUCUGUUACCGAGGGAGGGCUUGUCUGUGGCUCUUUGUCUGGUUUACUUGAAGAUAAUCAAAAGAAAGCAGAAGAAGUGACCAGUGUCCUCCAUUACGGUCUAUUGCUGACUGCCACUGUCAUGCCACUUUUUUGAUGCUACAACUGUGGAGACAGCAAAGUUGGAAAGUUUUAAAUCCUACAUGUGUUUUUUUUUUUUUACUGAAAUUAAAGGGGCUGUACUCGAUAUUCAGAAGAAAAAGUGGUCUGGGAUUGCUGCCACAUGGCUCUCACAGACCAUUCCCCUUUUCAAAUACCAACACUGUCACAUCCCUCGGCUACAGAUACCGACUCACAAGGCACUCACAUCACAUGCACGCGUGGCCGGUUGGCUUUCAAAACAACAAACAGAGAAACUCAGAUUAUAACUCACACAGAAGGAGUGUGACUUCCUUCACUGCUCAGGACAACAUUACUCCACUAUAUCUUUACAUAGCAAAUAGUUGUUUACUGCUUUAUCAUUUUCUGAAUAUCGAGUACUGCCCCUUUAAGUCAAAAGGCAAAUUAUUUGCUGAAGGGUUUAAUUAGUUUGUUUGACAAGCUCGUUUUCAUCUUAUUCACAUAUUAGCUUCAGAGAAACUGCAUUAUGUUAAUGGCAACAAUAAUCUGAAAAAAUAGACAAAAUAAGAUAUAAAAUUCUGUCGACAAAGCUUGAAGGUUUUAGCAGCAUAGUUCCCUGAAAAGCAAUGUUUUGUACUGUAAACAUGUUUGUUUGUGAGGAGGAAAUAAACUGUAAAAAAUGUAUUCACUGUCAACUGGCAUGUGAGUGUAUUAAAUGCACUGUGCUAGUGUCUCUCAAAUGAUAAUUACAGCCGGUGAUGACACUGUGCUGAGAUGUGACAAAACAGUUUCUCCCCAAAAUAAAAGAAAUACAUUAAUUAAAUUAAACACCCACCAUUUCCAUCUGUCUGAACAGAUAAGAGUAAAAGAAAGUGAUUUGUACAUUACAUUUUUGAUUUGUGCUCACUCUGUUGUGAUUGCUUCAUCAUUGCUUUAUUGAUAAUUCCUUUGUCCUCCACAGGGGCGAAACUCUACAAACCUUCCUCAUUCUGUAUACUUUGACUCAUAUAUUUACUCAAUUUUCAUGAAAAUAUAUAUUUUGCACUUACUUUUAUAUUCAGCUACCUUUAGAUGGAGUAAAAUCUAGAACUACACCAAAUUUGUCAGCCAGACUUUUUUUGGACAAUAGGUUGUUAAUGUAUAAGUUUCUACUUGGGGAAUGAAUGCUCUGUGACAUGUUCAUACAACUCGAGAGGCUUCUCAUUUAUUUGUCUACUGACGUGUAUGACAGUAUGGGCCGUAGCAUACAACAUUACAUCCUAGGACAUUUUCCCGACUGCCUUAAGAAAUGUGUAUCACGCCCUGUUGUGGCAGCCUUAUCACUAUGCAAAUAACCUUACGCCGUUAACUAGAUCCAGCAUGUGAACAGUUACAUGACAGUUAAAGACAUAUGUUGUGAAUCUGUUACAUUCCAUUUUGUUAUAACUGAAUAAAGCCUCUCUCAUCCGUUUAAACUGGCAUCAAAAUUUGGCAAUAUGAAUUGUUACUUUUUUACUUCCUGAAGAUUUACCAGCAUGAACCAACCUUUAACCAAUCCUCCUUUCAUUUGGGUGCCCCUUUCUUAUCUAUCUACUCAUCAUCGAAGUGAAUGGAGCAUAGAAAAUGUAGCCUGUAUAUUCUUGUGUGUCUCAUUAAACCUUUAGAACAUUGUUGAACUGAA